CACGUAGGGGGCGAGCGUUGUCCGGAUUUAUUGGGCGUAAAGAGCUCGUAGGCGGUUCAGUAAGUCGGGUGUGAAAACUUGAGGCUCAACCUCAAGAGGCCACUCGAUACUGCUGUGACUUGAGUCCGGUAGAGGAGCGUGGAAUUCCUGGUGUAGCGGUGAAAUGCGCAGAUAUCAGGAGGAACACCGACAGCGAAGGCAGACACUCUGGGCCGGUACUGACGCUGAGGAGCGAAAGCGUGGGGAGCGA
rnacentral:rRNA from 1 species